rnacentral:rRNA from 1 species
UGGGGAAUUUUGGACAAUGGGGGCAACCCUGAUCCAGCAAUGCCGCGUGUGUGAAGAAGGCCUUCGGGUUGUAAAGCACUUUUGUCCGGGAAGAAAUCGCACCUGAUAAUACCGGGUGUGGAUGACGGUACCGGAAGAAUAAGGACCGGCUAACUACGUGCCAGCAGCCGCGGUAAUACGUAGGGUCCAAGCGUUAAUCGGAAUUACUGGGCGUAAAGCGUGCGCAGGCGGUUGUGCAAGACCGAUGUGAAAUCCCCGGGCUUAACCUGGGAAGUGCAUUUGUGACUGCACGGCUAGAGUGUGUCAGAGGGGGGUAGAAUUCCACGUGUAGCAGUGAAAUGCGUAGAGAUGUGGAGGAAUACCGAUGGCGAAGGCAGCCCCCUGGGAUAACACUGACGCUCAUGCACGAAAGCGUGGGGAGCAAACAGG